rnacentral:rRNA from 1 species
CCUACGGGUGGCAGCAGUGAGGAAUAGUGGUCAAUGGGCGCGAGCCUGAACCAGCCAAGUAGCGUGAAGGAUGACUGCCCUACGGGUUGUAAACUUCUUUUAUAAAGGAAUAAAGUGAGGCACGUGUGCCUUUUUGUAUGUACGUUAGGAAUAAGGAUCGGCUAACUCCGUGCCAGCAGCCGCGGUAAUACGGAGGAUCCGAGCGUUAUCCGGAUUUAUUGGGUUUAAAGGGAGCGUCGAGGGGUUGUUAAGUCAGUUGUGAAAGUUUGCGGCUCAACCGUCAAAUUGCACUUGAUACUGGCAGCCUUGCGUCCAGUUCAGGUAGGCGGACUUCGUGGUGUAGCGG